rnacentral:rRNA from 1 species
UACGUAGGGUGCAAGCGUUGUCCGGAUUUACUGGGCGUAAAGGGCGCGUAGGCGGCCACCGCAAGUCAAUUGUGAAAUCUCCGGGCUUAACUCGGAAAGGUCAACUGAUACUGCUCGGCUAGAGUGCGGAAGGGGCAACUGGAAUUCUUGGUGUAGCGGUGAAAUGCGUAGAUAUCAAGAGGAACACCUGCGGCGAAGGCGGGUUGCUAGGCCGACACUGACGCUGAGGCGCGAAAGCCAGGGGAGCAAACGGG